GUCUUAGCAAAUACACUCAUUAAGUUUUCUCUAACAGGUGUUUGUACUGAAACAUUUAAUUGGUAACUGAGCUUAGCAGUUUCUCCUACGAGCCUCGGUCUCCCUAUUUUCUUUCCUCAAAUUCAAAUUGGUCCUGAUUGCUUAUGAUUGCACAUGUGAUGAAGCAAAGAUAUUCAAAACCCCAAGAUUUCCUCUGGCAUGUUCUGAUGUUAUUUAAGACUUCUUCAAGAAUCCUGGUGGAAGGCAGAGAGGAAUGGUCUGCUGUUAGAGAUGAAGUCAUUAGCAUUGUGCACUGAUAAAGACGGAUGACUCGUGGAAAGUGGUGAUGAGGAGUUGGAAGGGUAGGGGAAAAAAAGCCUGGAGCGUGAUGGCCUGACUGGUAUUUUAAGAAGGACAUCUUCAUUCCUUCCUGCCAGAGUGAGUGAUCUACCUCCAUUUGCCAUGGUAGCGAGCCGCCUGACCCUGCGGGGGCAGUCCGGCCGACUGGCCCUUCUUGGGGGCAGCGAGCAGUGUGUCCCUUAAGCAGGCUUGACCGACCUACAGUCCCACUCUCUGCGGUCAGGCCCUGGCCAGAGGGAUUUGAGAUGUGGCAGCAUAAUCAAUUUCCAUGAUUCAUGAUCACCCCAAAUGGAGGUCGUGCUGAGCGACUGGGCAGCUGAAAGAAGAGAGCAGACGGGGAAUGCUGACAACAGAGCUGAGUCCACUGCCAUGUAUAGGAGAGGCGACGCUCUUCCUCAGGCUGCCGUGGGGUCAGGUCUUCCUCUUUGCUGAGUAACUACAUCGAUCCCAACACAGCAAUUCUUGUUCUAAUCAGCUCCAAAGAAAAUCUGCUGAACAGACUCAGCAACAAAACGGCCAAUAGCAGCAGGGUGGCGCUGGUGUGAUUUAUCUCACCUGUCGUUGUUCUGUCUUUGACGAAAACAACAACUGUGGUCGACGUUCUCACGGGGAAAUUGGAGAGAGCUCUUCUUAGGUAACUAGUUUAACUGCUGGAGAAUCAACAAAGAUAUUAGUCAGUCACAUGAGUUAAUGGUGUGACGUCUCACACUGUAAACAGCUGUUGGAGUCAUAUCAUGGCAGUCAUGGCGGAUUCCAGACCAGUUCACAAAAACGGUUUCCUCCCUCUCGUAUCAUGUUCAGCUCAAGCCACCAGACAUUUUGUUUAGUUUGUUUACAUAUAAUUGAAAUCUGAAAAAGAAAAAAAAAGGAAAAUUAGCAAAACUGUUUUUAUAUCGCAUUUAAUUUUUUUUAUUGUCUUCUUUGGGCAUUUUACCUCUGAUGUAACAGGCAAUUAUUUCAUAUCUCUUAUUUCUAGUGUUGCCUAAUACAAUGACUUGGUUGCUUAAUUGGUCAACUUAACUAGUAGCUUAGGUUAAAUGUAAAAUGGGUUUUUGGAGUUGUCAUAAUAUCUACAUUGUUAUGUUUGAAAUUUCUGCUGAAAUGUACAAUGGUAAAUAUAAUGUCUUAUUCCAAAUCCAAAAGUCGAACAAAACAUCACAUCAUAGACAUAAUACUCAGAAAUAAUCCUGUCAUAAAUAAACACCUGUUAGCUGGCUGCGUCUAAUGUCACACUCCCUCUGCAUUUGUUUGUCCAGCUAUCAAGGUCAUGGUCCUUGUCCUAUUAGCAGGCUAUGGCAGCCCUGUGUGCUCUAUAUGGAGAAGGUGGUGAUGAUUGUGCUUAUGUGUGGGUGGGGCAUAGAGACAGGAGGCAGGGCUGAAGCUCAGGAGUUGAGAUGUCUGCCCCUGAGAGGACAGCAGGAGGUCGGCCUCUCCUGCCCAGACGACCGCUGACCCCCAUGGAGACAGUCCCGCUUCAAGUUGCUGCCGGGUCUCUUUGAAAACAUCCUCGGCCCUGCUUGAGUGAUUGGCCAUAUGGGCCACUGUGCCAUCCAGGAAUCCCCCCACCCCACUGUGCAAACGUGGAGCUGUGGGAGACGAGAGGAGGAAGCUUGGCAAUCUCCACCGAGAACCGUAACACAGACGUCUGGUCUGCAGUUUACCACAGCUAGGCGGUGGACCCUUUUCAGGGCCAAGGACCAGGACUCAAGUAUUGACUACCAGGGACUGUGGAAAUAAAGGUGACCCUCUGCCCCAAGUCCGGAUGAAGUCCACCAGUUCCCAUGAUCUUCCUGUAUGGAGGUUUCUCUCUGCCUCAAAUUGUGUUUGGUUUGCUGUUCAUAACUAUAAAAAGGAUAGGCAGAAUAAUAAAGAGACAGAAUCAUUUGCAGAAGUGAGGGUCCUGCUGUAGUUUCUUGCAGUAAAGAAAUAGCUGGUUCAAAAACUGAUGGCGUGUUUUUACAGGUCUGUCUAAGCUGAGACUCUCAAGUAUAGGAAGAGGAUAAGGAUCAUCAUCAAAAGAUUGAAAUCCCAGAUAUAAGAGAUUGAGAUGAGCUGACUCUGUCGGAUAGGUGAGCUCAGUCUAUAGGACUCUGCAUGUUCAAGCAGAAGUUAUGAAAUCAUUUGUCACUGUCACAGCUGCAUUACCAAAAUUGUAUCAUUUUGUUGUCAGCCUCAAAUCUUCCACCCCUUUUUGUCACAACCCCCAAUGCAAACGUUUUGUACCUGCCCUCUGCAUCUGAAACUAUUGUGUGAUUGGUCAGAAUUUCAUGGGUCUGUUUGUUUAUGAUGGAAAAAAACCCCAAACUACUCAACUUCCAGAAACUGGUUUUUCAGCCAGAAAGCAGGAUGGAUAGUUUUGAGAAGCGCUUGUCCAAGGUCGUGAGAAAGUACAUACCAUUGGACCGAAACACUGAACUCCCCCAGUUUGCGUCUUGUCUGACGCAGAUACAAAAACAGAACAAAAAAUAUGAUUAAAUUUUGUAGGGGAUCAGCACUGUGAAGUUUGUCUGUCAGCUGUUCUGCAAUUCUUGAGAAAUUAACAAAAUAUCUUUUUGUCAAAAAAUGUAACAAAUCUGAACAUUUUGACUUUUAAUAUGCAAGGAAAUUUAUGAAAAGUUGCUCAUUAUGCUUUAUAAUGAGCCUUUGACUUUAUGAACAAAUCAGAUUUGAACUUUUGAACAUGAUGUUUUGAACCCCUGAUCUAUAUUUUUUUCUGAACUAUAGUACAGCAGACAGAGCUUUGAGAAAUAUAAUUUAUUCACAUAUCAGUUUAUUUUGAAAUUCCACUGAUGGCAAAGCUGCUUCCUUCUGUUUGAUUGGUUGAUCAUGUGACCAUUGUUCCAGAUAAACACAUUGUGUUAAUUAUCGUUGUUUUCAUACAUUCACUUCAUGAUGCAGUACUCAAACCAUUCAAACAUUAUGUUUAUAGUUUCUUUGCUUUUUAUAAAUAAAUGUAUUAAUUCUACAGAGAAAUGUGGAGUUGUCUGGACACUGAAGGUUUAUUAUGCUCUUUAAACAUCAAAACCCUGCACCUGCAAAACAUUGGCCCAUAUAUCUUCAAACCGAAGUGUCAAGACUUUUAAUAGCCGAUCCUGCAGGAGGACCAGAAGUUCUUUGAGUUAUUCAUAACAGCUGAAUCAUGAAGAAUGGUAGAAUCCUUUAGUGGGAUUUUCAUUGUUUUAUUUAUACCUGAUAACAAGGAUCAUAAAGGUAUUUUGUGGCUGAUGCCGGGCCAAUCUUCUUGUUCUCUCAUAGGUUUAUUUCACAACACUUUAUGCCGCUCCUUCUGCUCCGCAAAAUGAGAUUUCAUCAGAGUUGUAAAUCUCCAUGUCAGGGAUUUUCUUUGAUUUUUUUCAAUCCCUCCUUCCUUCACAUCUCUCGCUCUCUCUGUUUCUUCAGCGCAUGAUUGUGCAAAGCCUCAGAGGCUUACUUGGCAGCAACUGAAAAGGCAGAGGGGGUUAAAAUGAACAAAAGUAAUUUUAUGUUUAUGGGUACAAAUUUUCUCACAUUUUGUUGCAGUUAAAUGUUUUGGCUGCACAUUUGCCUCGGUGAAUGGAGAAGGUGGUGGGGAAUCCCUUGGAAAUUGCAGGGUUUUUUUUUAGUUCUCAUGCUUUACUUCACACAGAGUUUUAUUUAUGAAAUCACCCUCCCAUAUGGUUGUAGUUGCUUUAAGGUUAGAAAGUACUUUCACCCAACUUCAACAGAUUCUUUUUCAAUUUUACUUAAGUCAAUGCCAGCAGGUGGAGUCAGGGAAAUAAGUGCUCUGUUAAAAGAUGUGGUAAUGGUGAUAAUCCCAAAUGUCAUCAGAUAAAAGACAAGCCUUUUUCUGCUAAAUUAUAUAGAAAUCAAGUGUAUCUACUAUGCAUGAGCCUCUUAUGAUCACACAGCACUCUCUGGUAAAGUGUAGGGUAUGAUUUGUGGUCGUUUUCAAAGUGCUGGUGUGAGGACGCUUCAGCGAAAAAGGCUGAUCCAUAUCUCUCCUUAUUUGAUCAGCCCCAGUUCAAAAAACAUGUUCCAAGUAAAGCUUGACGCCUCUGUGCUGUCAGAUACUACAGAAGCUAAAAUAACUGACAACUAAACAUUUAACAUUUCUUCCUAGUAAUGCAUAUUUCACACCAGUAAAAUGUGAAAUAAGUCAGCAGCACAGACUUUGCUCAUAGAAUCAUAAAAUAAAACCUUCUCUGCUUGAAGAGAAGAUCUUUGUGAAGAAUCAGCUGUUUCUCUUUUGUAAUCAGUGCAGACUGAUUAAAGGCAAGUCAGUCACAGAAUCAGUUAAGUGACUUUAACAUUGUUGGCUACAGCAUUGCACUCUGUGCUAGUCCCUAGUUAAAACAUGAAUGUUUUAAUGCUGCGUCAGUGUUACAGCAGGAGCUAAAACGUGAUCCUGUGAUUUACCUGCACUUUCAAACAGGUCUCAAACAUUUGGAAUUGAAUUAAUUUCACACACUUAUUUCAAAACCUGCCAUCAUCCAUGUUCAUAAAUACACCGUCAAGUGCUUAUUUCUGUUAAUUGUCUUUACCAAGUUAAUUUAAUUAUCUUACAGCUCUUAGAAAAAAAAUAAAUAAAUUGUUAUAUCCAAUCAUGAGGAAGAUUGCUGACUUGACAUUUACACCAACAAAAAAGCUGACUGUUCAUUGCCGAAUGCAAGCAUAUUUAUUCAUGGAAAUUUGAGUGGAAGGAAAAUAUGUUGGAAAAAAAGGUGCAAAAGCAAAAGGGAUAACUACAGUCUUGAAUCAAAGCUUUUUCAAAAGUUUGGGGAGGCUGACAAAACACUGUGGUGCUUAAAGAACCGCAUGCAGACGUGUUAAGGUCAUGGGCUAUAAGGCAAAAUCCUUGUGACUAGAGACACCAAGCAUCUUACUUAGGCUAAAAAAAUUAUUAUUAUUAUUAUUAUUAUUAUUAAUAAUAAUAAUUUAUUUAUCAACUCCAAACUAAGAACAGUCAUCUACCAGGAAAUUAUAGAUCAGGUCCUGCUUCAUUCUGAUGACAAGAUGCUUUCAUUUUCUAAUAUGAAUUACAACAACAUUUAAUUCCCCUAUGGGAUCAAUAAAGUAUUUUUUAAUGUAAAUUUGAAUUUCCAAGAGGACUUGGCAUCAACCCACACAGUCAGAGGUACCAGGAACUAAUAUAAUCACCAAUCUAGAAAACCUUUUUCUCAGAAGUCAACAUCUUCUGCAAAAUCAUCUUAGCUCUUCCAUCAGCAGUAAAGUGAAACACUUAACACCAGCUUGACAAAGGUCAUUAAUUUUGUCAAAGUCUUAAGCAGGUGCUGGAAAAGCAGAUAAUGUGGGAAAAAUCCAGCUAAGGAAAUAAAGGCCAAGAGAAUAAAGGGAAUGAAGGCACUUUUUUCUCAGACAAACUUCAACCUUUUACUCCCUGCUAGACAGCAUUGUCAUAAAUUAUGCAUUGUUAAGGUUCUGAAUACCUUUUGGCACCUACUUCAAAAGAAUUCAGAUGUUCUGCUUGUUAGCUUCAGAUUUGGCAUGAAGAAAGGGGCACGUGGUACCUCCACAUCUGGAUGCCAGCACCUUGGCUGAUAUUGAGACUUUGUCUCUUGUGACAUCUUUAUGAUCACAUGCUGUUACCCAUUGCACCCAUUGGGUUUUUGGCCAUAUCUCCCACAAUAAACCUCACAACCUUCACCCAGCCUCCUUAUCACCCAGGGAUCCCUCUUCUAGUUAACUCUGACGGGAAUGUAAAACAUUUGAAGUGUCUUUUGAUUCCAGCCCUUUGCAAACGUUGCUGCUAAAUGGAACCUUGCAAAGUUGGGUGGAACCCAUCUUGAGCGACCUGCAGAGAAACCAGCCUACACACCUUGUCUUCAUUACUACAAUAUAGUCCUUUUAUGAUGUUCCCCUAUCAAUGAAUCUAUCUCGCCUUUCCUGAUUUAUUGUCUGGCCCCGCGGUGGCCCCUGAAGCCUUUGACCUCCUUAAAAUCUGCCUCUGAACAAAUGGCAAGAGAAUAAAAAAGAAGAGUGUUGUGUAAUUGUUUUUUUUUUCUCCUUACUUUUUCAAGUGUUGACUCUUGCACAUACAGUAUUUCCACUGUUACCUUCUCUGCAGCUGGCUUCACUUAGGAAACCGUCCACAUUGUAGGCUUUGAACAGGUGCAGAGUGGAAACUGUUAACCAGGAAGGCUGCAUAAACACUCAGCAGGCUGUAAGACAAAGGCCUGCUGCUGUUUUAAUCUCCCAGAAGUAUGGGAACUAGAAUAAGGAAGUGGAAAUAUGAAAAAUGUCUUCACCCAGAGCUAAACUGGCUUCAACUAUAAUUGUUGAAACUAAAAUGUUUUGAAUCUUCAUUAAAA